CAGACGUUGAAUGAGACAUGAGAACAUGGGAGAGUCUGGGGACCUGGGAGCAGAGCAACCAUGGUGGAAUAGAGGCAAAGGAAAUGAACAAGCUCUUCAAUUUUCUGUGUCGCUCCUUGCUGUGUACCCUGGACCCUAAGGUGCAAUGCUCUUGACUACCACUGGGCAUCAACAAAUGGAGCCAUCUUAACAUAUCAUCUUGGGGACCUGGUGACACAUCUGUGUUGCAACAGCAUCACGAGGAGCCAGUGUUUCAUCUUCAGUUUGGAACUCCCAGCUUCCAGGCCCACACAGUUUUGCUGAUCACGAAUGAAAUCUUGAAGAACAUCCAUCUCUUGUCCACAUUUCUGCUCUACUUAAAAAAAAAAAACAUAACAAACAAACAAAAACUGGAAGCCAACAAUGGAAAAGAGGGACCAGGAAGACAAGAAGUGAACAUCUUAAAGAAAGAUAUUAAGUGUCUAAAGGCAUGAAGAUGACUUGUGUUUAUUUGGGAAUAAUCUAGAUGCUUUGCACCUGGAGCAGAAAGAACACAAUUAAUGGUGAAGGACUUGUCCAAAUGAUGAGAAAAAAUUCACAAUGUGGGCCCACUCUACAUCUCUGAAAGGAAGAAGUCAGCAAACAUCCCUAAGGGCCUACCUUUCAGCUAUUUGUUUCACUUACUCCACUUAAAAAUUUCCAAGGGACAUGAACAGAGACAAGAUCUAUUUUGAAAGUGCAAUUUACACUCUCAAGGUGUCCUAUGUUAGCUAGCACGUUAGUGAAAAAUAAGCCAACCGGUAGGAAAGAAGAUGACAAUGAAACAAGGGAGAGUGUGGGCAUAGAUAUUAAUAUUAAAUGGGUCAGGUUAAAGUUAAAUUAAUUCACUGUCUUUUAUGCUGUAUGUUAAACUGGCAAUCCAUGAAAGUUAGAUGCACAGAAAUAAUGUUCAGUCUUUCAUUCAAAGUUUCCACAGCAUUUCAUCUAGGUAAAGACGUUACACCUAAUAUAUGAACUUUUUUAAAAAAAGGAAAGAAGACCUGUGCUUUAAAAUAAAUGUUUCUUUUUUUCUCAUUAUAAAAUAAUACCACACACUCCUUUUAGAAAAACAAUAAGGACAGUAUAAGAAAACAAUUAAAAUGACAAUAAUCUUACUAUCAAGUGAUAAGCACUACUACUAUUUUUGAUACAUUUUCUACAAUAUCCCUUUUGAUACAUUUUCUAUAAUAUCCCUACAUUAUUAUAGUAUUCAAAUAAUAGCCCACUUAGUAUUCUUUUAUUACAUGUUAAGAUUGGUCCUCAUUUUUAAAAUAUUACAAACAAAACUCUGAUGAAUAUCCUGGUACAACUGUCAUAUGCUUACUUAUUACUUUAUCAGGUUUAAAAAAUUAUUUUCCACACAACAUCUAUUUUAUCUUUUUUUCCAAUUCAUGGUACAUGUUUUUCUUAUUAAGCUGGAAUUGUUCUUCAUAUGUUAAAGAUAUUAACAUUUGUAAUAUGUGUCUCAAAUGUUCCCCCAAUUUUUUAUCCAUCUCUUAAAUUAUGAUGUCUUUAUUGAUUUGCAGAAGUUGUCCAGAUGUAUUUAUCUUCUUUUGGUGUUUCUUCCAUUGCUUUUGAAAGUCCUUCAUCACCCUGAGAUCAAUAAAAUAUUGGUCAAGAAAAUAUUAUAUUUUAUCCUCAUUUUGAAAAGCAUGCAUGACAUUAUUGCUUGUUGUUUUUAAAAGACAAAAGAGAUGCAUAAAGUAAAAGAAGAAAUUGCUUUGUGCCCCUCUUGCCACCUUCCACCCAUCCCUGUCCACAUAUGCUCUUUCAAGUUUUUAUAAUUCUACUGUUUACACUUCACUUUUUAAUUUCAGAUGAAAGUUAUUUUGUUAUAUGGUCUGAGGUGACAAUCUAACUUGAGGAUUUUAUGUUUUUCAAAUAGCCAUUUUUUCCAACACCAUUGUUGAAUAAUUCAUUUCUUCUUUCUUGGUUUGUGACAGGCCCAUAUUUUUUGAGUUACAAAGACAGGAAAUUCACAAUGACAUUAUGCAACAAAAAUAACCUGCUUUCAGUGCUUGAAUACACGACUGGCUAAGCACGUGGUUAUUCAUACACCUACACUCUAUGUGGAGGCAGAGCAUGUCACUGUAGGGCAAGAGAUUGGAUUGUCCAUUUUUAACAGAAUGUUCUAAUUUGCUGAACCACACAAGUCUUUAAUUUUUCAGUUCAGUUCAGUUCAAUUCAACUGACUUAAUUUCAACCACCGUUUAGUAAUGCGUAUUAUGUGCAUUCAC
rnacentral:lncRNA from 10 species